GCUCGUAGUUGAACCUUGGGCCUGGCUGGCCGGUCCGCCACCGCGUGUACUGGUCCGGCCGGGCCUUUCCCUCUGUGGAACCUCAUGCCCUUCACUGGGUGUGACGGGGAAACAGGACUUUUACUUUGAAAAAAUUAGAGUGCUCCAGGCAGGCCUAUGCUCGAAUACAUUAGCAUGGAAUAAUAAAAUAGGACGUGUGGUUCUAUUUUGUUGGUUUCUAGGACCGCCGUAAUGAUUAAUAGGGACAGUCGGGGGCAUCAGUAUUCAAUUGUCAGAGGUGAAAUUCUUGGAUUUAUUGAAGACUAACUACUGCGAAAGCAUUUGCCAAGGAUGUUUUCAUUAAUCAGGAACGAAAGUUAGGGGAUCGAAGACGAUCAGAUACCGUCGUAGUCUUAACCAUAAACUAUGCCGACUAGGGAUCGGACGAUGUUAUUUUUUGACGCGUUCGGCACCUUACGAGAAAUCAAAGUGCUUGGGCUCCAGGGGGAGUAUGGUCGCAAGGCUGAAACUUAAAGAAAUUGACGGAAGGGCACCACCAGGGGUGGAGCCUGCGGCUUAAUUUGACUCAACACGGGGAAACUCACCAGGUCCAGACACAAUGAGGAUUGACAGAUUGAGAGCUCUUUCUUGAUUUUGUGGGUGGUGGUGCAUGGCCGUUCUUAGUUGGUGGAGUGAUUUGUCUGCUUAAUUGCGAUAACGAACGAGACCUUAACCUGCUAAAUAGCCCGUAUUGCUUUGGCAGUACGCCGGCUUCUUANAGGGACUAUCGGCUCAAGCCGAUGGAAGUUUGANGCAAUAACAGGUCUGUGAUGCCCUUA
rnacentral:rRNA from 1 species